rnacentral:rRNA from 1 species
CCAACCUUCCGUACACUCAGGGAUAGCCUUUCGAAAGAAAGAUUAAUACCUGAUGGUAUCUUAAGCACACAUGUAAUUAAGAUUAAAGAUUUAUCGGUGUACGAUGGGGAUGCGUUCCAUUAGGUAGUAGGCGGGGUAACGGCCCACCUAGCCUACGAUGGAUAGGGGUUCUGAGAGGAAGGUCC